GACGGAGCAAUACCGCGUGAGGGAGGAAGGCUCUUGGGUUGUAAACCUCUUUUCUCAGGGAAGGAGGUCUGACGGUACCUGAGGAAUCAGCAUCGGCUAACUCCGUGCCAGCAGCCGCGGUAAUACGGAGGAUGCAAGCGUUAUCCGGAAUGAUUGGGCGUAAAGGGUUCGUAGGUGGUGAUGUAAGUCUGCUGUUAAAAGUCGGGGCUCAACCCCGAACCGGCGGUGGAAACUACAGCACUAGAGUGCGGUAGGGGCAGAGGGAAUUCCUGGUGUAGCGGUGAAGUGCGUAGAGCUCAGGAAGAACACCGGUGGCGAAAGCGCUCUGCUAGACCGCAACUGACACUGAGGGACGAAAGCUAGGGGAGCG
rnacentral:rRNA from 1 species